CGCCCGUCAAACCAUGGGAGCUGGUAAUGCCCGAAGUCGGUUUAUAAAGAAACUGCCUAAGGCAGGACUGGUGACUGGGGUUAAGUCGUAACAAGGUAUCCCUACGAGAACGUGGGGAUGGAUUACCUCCUUUCUACGGAGUACACUUGUCUUUUAUCACUAUAAAAAAGACUUAUAACCAAAAUUAAUAGACCUAUAUUUAUUUAUAAACGUCAUGGCUUUUAUUAAUAGGUCAAAAGCUAUAUAUCUAGUUUUGAGAGAACAUUCUCUCAUAUGUUCUUUGAAAACUGAAUAGUAAAAUAUUUUUCGAUAUUUACAACGACAUCAAAAAUCAAAUUAAUGGUUAAUUUGUUUUGAUUCAUCGAGUAAGUCACAUUUAAUAUGAUUCAUUGAAAUGUCUUAAAAUACACAUCUAAAACUAACAACAAUAGGAAAAUACUACUUUUAAAUAAGGAAGAGUUUGUGGUGGAUGCCUUGGGUCUGGAAGUCGAUGAAGGACGUGAUUACCUGCGAUAAGCCUCGUAGAGCUGGAAAUAUGCUAUGAAACGGGGAUUUCCGAAUGGGGAAACCUAACUAUGGUAAUGCAUAGUUGCUUAUGUCUGAAUACAUAGGACAUAAAGCGAGAUACCUUGUGAACUGAAACAUCUUAGUAGCAAGAGGAAAAGAAAAUAAAUAAUGAUUUCUUUAGUAGCGGCGAGCGAACGAGAAAGAGCCCAAACCAUUUUAAAUGGGGUCAUAGGACAGACUACAUAGAGUUACAAAAUUUAAUAAUAGGAGAAGCUUUUGGGAAGAAGCGGCACAGAAGGUGAUACCCCUGUAUGCGAAAUUAUUAAAUCUCUUGACUGUAUCCUGAGUAGGGCGGGGCACGUGAAACCCUGUCUGAAUUUGCCGGGACCACCCGGUAAGGCUAAAUACUAACCAGACACCGAUAGCGAACUA
rnacentral:sRNA from 2 species